rnacentral:sRNA from 1 species
CCCUAGCCCUGAUAGAAGCGGUAUCCUUUUUGUCUCUUUUUCGGAGACAAAAAGAUACAAGCGGAUAGCAGGAAAUAGC